CAUAGCGUAGCACUCUGCGACUUGCUCUUAUAACACCUCGAAACGGGAUCGUAAGAACGGUGGCGACCGGAAGAGUAACACGUGAGCAACCUGCCCCGGACUCCGGGAUAACAGUUGGAAACAGCUGCUAAUACCGGAUACGAGCUGCGAAGGCAUCUUCAGCAGCUGGAAAGAACUUCGGUCUGGGAUGGGCUCGCGGCCUAUCAGCUAGUUGGUGAGGUAACGGCUCACCAAGGCGUCGACGGGUAGCCGGCCUGAGAGGGUGACCGGCCACACUGGGACUGAGACACGGCCCAGACUCCUACGGGAGGCAGCAGUGGGGAAUAUUGCACAAUGGGCGCAAGCCUGAUGCAGCAACGCCGCGUGAGGGACGACGGCCUUCGGGUUGUAAACCUCUUUUAGCAGGGAAGAAGCGAAAGUGACGGUACCUGCAGAAAAAGCGCCGGCUAACUACGUGCCAGCAGCCGCGGUAAUACGUAGGGCGCAAGCGUUAUCCGGAAUUAUUGGGCGUAAAGAGCUCGUAGGCGGUCUGUCGCGUCUGCUGUGAAAACCCGAGGCUCAACCUCGGGCCUGCAGUGGGUACGGGCAGACUAGAGUGCGGUAGGGGAGAUUGGAAUUCCUGGUGUAGCGGUGGAAUGCGCAGAUAUCAG
rnacentral:rRNA from 1 species